rnacentral:ncRNA from 1 species
UGUCUCCUCCAAUCCCACCAAGGAAUUGGAUUCGCGCCCGCCUCAUUGGCGGGCGUUUUUAU